AUUGAACGCUGGCGGCAGGCUUAACACAUGCAAGUCGAACGAGUGGCGGACGGGUGAGUAAUGCCUGGGAAACUAUCUUAUGGAGGGGGAUAACUACGGGAAACUGUAGCUAAUACCGCGUACCAUCGGAUGCGCCCACAUGGGAUUAGGUAGUUGGUGAGGUAAAGGCUCACCAAGCCAACGAUCUCUAGCUGGUCUGAGAGGAUGACCAGCCACACUGGCACUGAGACACGGCCCAGACUCCUACGGGAGGCAGCAGUGGGGAAUAUUGCGCAAUGGGGGCAAGCCUGACGCAGCCAUGCCGCGUGAAUGAAGAAGGCCUUCGGGUUGUAAAGUUCUUUCGGGAGCGAGGCGUUAACCACAGAAGAAGCACCGGCUAACUCCGUGCCAGCAGCCGCGGUAAUAC
rnacentral:rRNA from 1 species